rnacentral:rRNA from 1 species
AGAGUUUGAUCCUGGCUCAGGACGAACGCUGGCGGCGUGCCUAACACAUGCAAGUCGAACGGAGUUGAAAGGAGCUUGCUUUUUUCAACUCAGUGGCGGACGGGUGAGUAACGCGUGAGUAACCUGCCUUUCAGAGGGGGAUAACGUUCUGAAAAGAACGCUAAUACCGCAUAAGAUUGUAGCUUCGCAUGGAGCAGCAAUCAAAGGAGCAAUCCGCUGAAAGAUGGACUCGCGUCCGAUUAGAUAGUUGGCGGGGUAACGGCCCACCAAGUCGACGAUCGGUAGCCGGACUGAGAGGUUGAUCGGCCACAUUGGGACUGAGACACGGCCCAGACUCCUACGGGAGGCAGCAGUGGGGAAUAUUGCACAAUGGAGGAAACUCUGAUGCAGCGACGCCGCGUGAGGGAAGAAGGUUUUAGGAUUGUAAACCUCUGUCUUCAGGGACGAAAAAAGACGGUACCUGAGGAGGAAGCUCCGGCUAACUACGUGCCAGCAGCCGCGGUAAUACGUAGGGAGCAAGCGUUGUCCGGAUUUACUGGGUGUAAAGGGUGCGUAGGCGGAUUGGCAAGUCAGAAGUGAAAUCCAUGGGCUUAACCCAUGAACUGCUUUUGAAACUGUUAGUCUUGAGUGAAGUAGAGGUAGGCGGAAUUCCCGGUGUAGCGGUGAAAUGCGUAGAGAUCGGGAGGAACACCAGUGGCGAAGGCGGCCUACUGGGCUUUAACUGACGCUGAGGCACGAAAGUGUGGGUAGCAAACAGGAUUAGAUACCCUGGUAGUCCACACUGUAAACGAUGAUUACUAGGU